rnacentral:rRNA from 1 species
CCUACGGGUGGCAGCAGUGAGGAAUAUUGGUCAAUGGGCGCGAGCCUGAACCAGCCAAGUAGCGUGAAGGAUGACUGCUCUACGGGUGGUAAACUUCUUUUAUAAAGGAAUAAAGUGAGGCAUGUGUGCAUUUUUGUCUGGACUUUAUGAAGAAGGAUGGGCUAACUACGUGCAAGCAGCCGCGGUAAUACGGAGGAACCAAGCGUUAUCCGGAUUUAUUGGGUGUAAAGGGAGCGUAGAUGGGUUGUUAAGUCAGUUGUGAAAGUUUGUGGCUCAACCGUAAAAUUGCAAUUGAUACUGGCAGUCUUGAGUACAGGUGAGGUAGGCGGAAUUCGUGGUGUAGCGGUGAAAUGCGUAGAUAUCACGAAGAACUCCGAUUGCGAAGGCAGCUUACUAAACUGUCACUGACAUUGAUGCUCGAAAGUGUGGGUAUCAAACAGGAUUAGAUACCCUAGUAGUC